rnacentral:lncRNA from 1 species
CAAAUGAGCAGCCCGGGAUUUUCCGGCACAGAGGACAUUGAGGAACAUUGAGGGAAAAGGAUAUCUUCUUCAAGGAAGACAGAAACCAUUCUGGAUUUCUUGAUGUUGCUGAACUGAAGAAUGCAAUACAAGCAGCAGCGUGUCUUCCCUCGGCAGGUCUGGCCACCGACGCGCAGCUGCUGCGCCUGAUGACGCUGCGCUACGGCGAUGCCUCCGGCAGGGUUGGCUUCUCCGACUUCGUGUGCUGCAUGCUGCGCCUCGACACCAUGACCCAUGCAUUCCAAAACUUAGCAGAGGGUGGAUCACAAAUUUGGAUGACAGCAAUGGAGUGGCUGACUCUUGUCAUGUACACCUAGAGAGAUGCCAGAGGUCAUGGUGACUUUUCUUCCUCCUCAGUAGAGCAGUGCCCAAGACCAUCCCAUACAAAAGCCAUCCACGGAGUCCUUGAAAAACCACUGUGAAGGAGUGAAGCCAGGUGUCCUCAUGCUUGGUGGUACUCAGAUGCUGGGAUGAAGAGUCCUUUCCAGGCAAACUGGAGGUGCCUUGGAGAGAGAAGAAUUGCUAAUGAAAGUACUCCAUGGGCAAGCUGGCAGUGUGGAGUGUAAUCUCUUCUCAUCUUCCUAUAAAUAGUACAGAAGUUAGGAACAGUUCUAUUGACUCCGCUAUGAAAAAGAACAGACCCAUGCCUUUUGUGUGAAAGGAAUGUAUAAGAUGUAGGUUACAUAAACAAUUAAGACACAGUUUUAUUUUAAUUAUUUCUUAAUUUUCUUGUGUGCCAUUUACAUGUGCCAGAAAAUGAUUGAAGAAAUUAGUCAUAAUUCAUAAAUAACACCAG